AACGAACGCUGGCGGCAUGCCUAACACAUGCAAGUCGAACGAGAUCUUCGGAUCUAGUGGCGCACGGGUGCGUAACGCGUGGGAAUCUGCCUUGGGGUUCGGAAUAACUCCCCGAAAGGGGUGCUAAUACCGGAUGAUGUCUUCGGACCAAAGAUUUAUCGCCCUGAGAUGAGCCCGCGUAGGAUUAGCUAGUUGGUGGGGUAAAGGCCUACCAAGGCGACGAUCCUUAGCUGGUCUGAGAGGAUGAUCAGCCACACUGGGACUGAGACACGGCCCAGAGUCCUACGGGAGGCAGCAGUGGGGAAUAUUGGACAAUGGGCGAAAGCCUGAUCCAGCAAUGCCGCGUGAGUGAUGAAGGCCUUAGGGUUGUAAAGCUCUUUUACCCGGGAUGAUAAUGACAGUACCGGGAGAAUAAGCUCCGGCUAACUCCGUGCCAGCCGCCGCGGUAAGAC
rnacentral:rRNA from 1 species